rnacentral:sRNA from 1 species
GCAUUGCUGUAGUGUCGCAAUGCUUCACCGGUAGCGCACGGCUCAGUUUCUGAGCCAUUCCCCUAAGCCCAGAACAAUGCGGAUUGGUUCUGGGCUACUUUUA